UCGAGCGAACAGACGAGGAGCUUGCUUCUCUGACGUUAGCGGCGGACGGGUGAGUAACACGUGGAUAACCCACCUAUAAGACUGGGAUAACUUCGGGAAACCGGAGCUAAUACCGGAUAAUAUAUUGAACCGCAUGGUUCAAUAGUGAAAGACGGUUUUGCUGUCACUUAUAGAUGGAUCAGCGCCGCAUUAGCUAGUUGGUAAGGUAACGGCUUACCAAGGCAACGAUGCGUAGCCGACCUGAGAGGGUGAUCGGCCACACUGGAACUGAGACACGGUCCAGACUCCUACGGGAGGCAGCAGUAGGGAAUCUUCCGCAAUGGGCGAAAGCCUGACGGAGCAACGCCGCGUGAGUGAUGAAGGUCUUCGGAUCGUAAAACUCUGUUAUUAGGGAAGAACAAAUGUGUAAGUAACUAUGCACGUCUUGACGGUACCUAAUCAGAAAGCCACGGCUAACUACGUGCCAGCAGCCGCGGUAAUACGUAGGUGGCAAGCGUUAUCCGGAAUUAUUGGGCAUAAAGCGCGUGUAGGCGGUUUUUUAAGUCUGAUGUGAAAGCCCACGGCUCAACCGUGGAGGGUCAUUGGAAACUGGAAUACUUGAGUGCAGAAGAGGAAAGUGGAAUUCCAUGUGUAGCGGUGAAAUGCGCAGAGAUAUGGAGGAACACCAGUGGCGAAGGCGACUUUCUGGUC
rnacentral:rRNA from 1 species